AUGUAUACAUAAAACAAACAAAAUGGGAUGUGAGCGAUAAUUAUAUAAA
rnacentral:guide_RNA from 1 species